UACGUAGGGUGCGAGCGUUAAUCGGAAUUACUGGGCGUAAAGCGUGCGCAGGCGGUCUGUUAAGACCGAUGUGAAAUCCCCGGGCUUAACCUGGGAACUGCAUUGGUGACUGGCAGGCUUUGAGUGUGGCAGAGGGAGGUAGAAUUCCACGUGUAGCAGUGAAAUGCGUAGAGGUGUGGAGGAAUACCGAUGGCGAAGGCAGCCUCCUGGGCCAACACUGACGCUCAUGCACGAAAGCGUGGGGAGCAAACAGG
rnacentral:rRNA from 1 species